rnacentral:rRNA from 1 species
UUAGGGGGGGAAGGGGGGGGAGAGAGGUGACCUGCGGUAGGAUCAUUGUCGGUUCGAGACCCUGAAUCGUGUAGGGGACGGAGCUCGCCUCCCUCCCCGCCCCCAAAAUCUCGGCGACGUGCGGACACUUGGCCUUGCAGCGAUGUGCUGGAGGGCCAAGCUAAAGGGUCCCGCGCCGUCGCGGUCGAGGGUCAAACGAAUGCCGCGAUCGAAAGCGUGGAUUCCCCGCGGUGCGAAGAGAGUCGGACGCAAAAUCUGGAUCACAACUGGUGCCUUCGAAACGACGUCUACGUCGGAGCGAGCGGUCCCUGCUCGGUUGUAGUUCGGAGGAGGUCCGGGCCUCAUUCCCCGCUGAGAUUUCAUGGCUCGGUCGUGUGCGCGGCGCUGUGCCAGGGAUCCGUCGAUUCGUCGGCGGCAAGUCGGGACUGCCGCAACCCCCCGUUGCGUUUUGCUCAGGUGCUAACUCGCCCCUGGGAGCGCUCUGUGUUCAGGAUGGGUGCACUCGCAUGUUCUGCGUGGCAGGGGCCCCCGUCCGACGACACGACUCUCCCUUGCGGCGACUCCCACCUUUGCGAGGUGAUGGGGCGGGGACACACCACAGCGUUCUUCGUCGCACCCCUCGGGUGCUCGGAGGGCGGGAUGUGUCAACACCCAACACACGGGUGCGCAUCGCGCACCUUAGAAAUCCAAAAGAAUGAAGUGCGAUCCAGCCGCCUUGUGCGCUUGGGUCGGACGAAAGAGAGAGAAACAUAACGAAAUCACGACUCUCGGCAACGGAUAUCUCGGCUCUCGCCACGAUGAAGAAUGUAGCGAAAUGCGAUACUUAGUGUGAAUUGCAGAAUCCCGUGAAUCAUCAAGUCUUUGAACGCAAGUUGCGCCCGAGGCCUCGGCCAAGGGCACGUCUGCUUGGGCGUCGCACUCCAAAAUUGCCCUCCCCCGCGAGGAGCGUAGAUGGCCGUCCGUGUCCGCAAGUGGGGCGGUCGGCUGAAAUGAGCACGAGGUCCGUCGAUCCGUCGCGACGAGCGGUGGUUCCCAAAGGCCGGCGUUGGUUUGCGCUGAUCGAGCGAUGCCUCGUGUGGAACUUUAUCUGUGGUGCCCGGGCCCGCCAAAACGCGGGCAUGGUGGACCUCUUUACCGCGUCCCAAGUCAGGCGUGAUACCCGCUGAUUUACUAUUAUUAUGGGGGGAGAAAGGAGGAAGAA